GACGAACGCUGGCGGCGUGCUUAACACAUGCAAGUCGAGCGGAAAGGCCCUUCGGGGUACUCGAGCGGCGAACGGGUGAGUAACACGUGAGUAACCUGCCCCAGACUUUGGGAUAACCCUCGGAAACGGGGGCUAAUACCGGAUACGACACAGCUUCGCAUGGGGUCUGUGUGGAAAGUUUUUCGGUUUGGGAUGGGCUCGCGGCCUAUCAGCUUGUUGGUGGGGUGAUGGCCUACCAAGGCGACGACGGGUAGCCGGCCUGAGAGGGCGACCGGCCACACUGGGACUGAGACAGGGCCCAGACUCCUACGGGAGGCAGCAGUGGGGAAUAUUGCACAAUGGGCGGAAGCCUGAUGCAGCGACGCCGCGUGAGGGAUGACGGCCUUCGGGUUGUAAACCUCUUUCAGCAGGGACGAAGCGUAAGUGACGGUACCUGCAGAAGAAGCGCCGGCCAACUACGUG
rnacentral:rRNA from 1 species